AAAGGCAUGAGGCUGUGCGCAGAAACAUUUCAUGCAGCAUGUUAGUUGGAGCAAAAGAGAAAAACAAAAGAAAGAGGAAAAAACAAAACAAAAACCAACAGUCCAAAAUUCGUAAACCAAUAAAGGGUUUGCCAUCGCCUGAAAGGUUUUUGUUUUGUUUUUGUUUUUUCAUUAAUCACCAAACCACAAGGUGAGGCUUUGUAACACCAACCAACUAAGAACUCCAACUCGGCUCGUCCUGGUCUUCCUGUCGUACUCGUGAUUUUAAUCGCUCCUUCUUAGUGCCUGUUUUGGGGUAUGGAGUGCCGUCCUGUGCGCCCAACGCAGCCGCUUGGAUGCCAUCUGAACCGAAGGUCUCUUCGCCUUGCGGGCCUUGCCCAUAUUUUUUUUUUCCUGAAUAAGAAAAGGUGAAACAAUAGAUGCCCAGAAAUACUGCUGUAAUUCCCCAGAACAAACAUCCAUCAGAAUUGGGGCCAGCCUCCUCGCCAGCGGCAGACAUAAACUAUCUAAAUAAUGAAAUGCAUUAGGUAUUUGAAGGCGUACUCAGAGAAAAAGGCAGCAUCUUUUCAAGGUGACUAAGCUUUCCAUCCUUUGGGCAAACGGGAUGUAUUCAAAGGCUCGAGCGCAGAUUAAUGAGAACAGCACUUUAAAAAGGACUGGCCGAUCAUCUUUAACAAAAUGUGUUACUUUUAAAUGAAA
rnacentral:lncRNA from 1 species